rnacentral:rRNA from 1 species
AACAAGGUUUCCGUAGGUGAACCUGCGGAAGGAUUCAUUG